AGAAUGUUGUUAUAAUGGGAGACUGGCUUUAUUUGGUGCAUGGAGUACACUUUCAUCCUCUAGCACCAUAUGAAAUCAGUUUUCCAUAGUGACAUU